GCAGCAGUGAGGAAUUUUCUGCAAUGGGCGAAAGCCUGACAGAGCAACGCCGCGUGAGGGAAGAAGGCCUUCGGGUUGUAAACCUCUUUUCUCAAGGAGGAAGAUCUGACGUUACUUGAGGAAUAAGCAUCGGCUAACCCUGUGCCAGCAGCCGCGGUAAUACAGGGGAUGCAAGUGUUAUCCGGAAUUAUUGGGCGUAAAGGGUCUCUAGGUUGAAAUUUAAGUCUUUUGUUAAAUAUCAGGGCUUAACCCUGACUCUGCAAAAGAAACUAGGUUUCUAGAGUAUGGUAGAGGUUAAGGGAAUUUCCAGUGGAGCGGUGAAAUGCGUAGAUAUUGGAAGGAACACCAAAAGCGAAGGCACUUAACUGGGCCAUUACUGACACUGACAGACGAAAGCUAGGGGAGCAAACGGGAUUAGAUACCUCGGUAGUCCUAGCCCUAAACGAUGGGUACUAGAUGUUGGGUUUAUUACUCAGUGUCGUAGCUAACGCGUUAAGUACCCCGCCUGGGAAGUAUGCUCGCAAGAGUGAAACUCAAAGGAAUUGACGG
rnacentral:rRNA from 1 species